GGGAGGUCCCGGGUCGCGCGCGGCGGCGGGAGGAGGAAAGCCGACGCGCAGCCUCCGCAUUCGGGUGGGGCGCGAGGGAGGAGGAUAGACCGGCUCGCCGAGGCGGUGAGGGUUGUCGGGAGGGACGUGGAGGCGGGGGGUGGCGGGUGCCGACAUCCUGGAGCUGGCCAUGGCGAGGGGGGCCAUGUUUGCGUGGCUGAGCUACUGGCCGGAGGAAGGGUUCUCCAAACAAGACCACCCCUACUGACGCAUGGCGCUUCACCUCUGCUUAGGUGACAUGUUGAUGGGUUCGUGUGGGAUUGCGAAGGCAAGCACCAGGACCAUGUGGGAGGAAAACAGCAGAAGAUUUGGAUGCUGCUCCGAUCUCUUUCAUGGUGUCAAAGUAUUGAGUGAGCAGAACCAAAUCCAUCACAUCCUUAGCUGAAGUCCCAGGCACAUUGCCGCUAAAGCCAAGCACACUAUCUCUUAGCCCAUCAACUAUGGCUUGACGCUGCCUUGCUAUACCAAGGCCAGAGAGAUACUUGGCUUCAGCCUCACCCUCAGCCCUCUUGAUCUGAAUUAUCUUUUCUGCCUCUGCCUUCUCAUUUGCUGCAACACGGAGUCUUGCAGCUGAACACAAUGAUGAAAGAAAAGGAGGUUAGUACUAAACAUCGAACCGUAGUAUAUUACUGUGAUAUCAGCAGUGAGUGAAUGAUUGAUCUGAUACUCUCUGCAGAA